AUAGUCGCCUCGGCAGCACAUGUACUAAAUCCUGAAUGAUACAGAGAAGAUUAUUAACAUGGUCUCUACUCAAAGAUGCCUUUAAUUCCA
rnacentral:snRNA from 1 species